AUGAUGAAAGCCUAUGAUCGUGUGGAAUGGACUUAUCUUCAUGGUUGUUUAAGCACGCUUGGCUUUGCUCCUAUUUGGAUUGAAUCUAUCAUGAGAUGCGUAACCAAGGUCCGGUAUGCUGUUAGAGUUAAUGCUGAACUUACCGAUCCCGUUGUUCCUUCAAGGGGCAUCCGUCAGGGGGACCCCAUCAGUCCCUACUUGUUUCUUUUGUGCACCGAAGGCUUGUCGAGUUUGUUACUACAGAAGGAGACUUGUGGCGAGCUACAUGGUAUUCAAAAUGGCCGCUCUGGUCCACUUAUCUCACAUCUUCUGUUUGCCGAUGACAACAUUUUCUUUGCCAAAAGUGGCAAUCGUAGUGUGGCUACUUUGGAAUCUACUCUGCAUUUAUAUUGUGAAGGAUCGGGGCAACUUAUUAAUAACAAGUCCUCAAUCUUUUUUGAGAAGCAUUGUCUUGAUGUUGUGAAACAUCGUGUUAUGGCCAUGCUGGGUAUCAAUAAUGAAACUUUUCAUGACUCAUAUCUUGGAAUGCUUACUGAGUGGAGCGGUCUCCUAUCAACAUUGUCAAAUUCCUUCCUGAUAGAGCAUUUUCAAAUUCCUAUCAACAUUGGCUCGUAUUGGGCCAGCCAGUAG
rnacentral:rRNA from 1 species